rnacentral:snRNA from 10 species
AUACUUACCUGGCAGGGGAGAUACCAUGAUCACGAAGGUGGUUUUCCCAGGGCGAGGCUUAUCUAUUGCACUCCGGAUGUGCUGACCCCUGCGAUUUCCCCAAAUGUGGGAAACUCGACUGCAUAAUUUGUGAUAGUGGGGGACUGCGUUCGCGCUUUCCCCUG